GAUGAAGAACGUAGCGAAAUGCGAUACGUAAUGUGAAUUGCAAAUUCAGUGAAUCAUCGAGUCUUUGAACGCACAUUGCGCCCCCUGGUAUUCCGGGGGGCAUGCCUGUCCGAGCGUCAUUGCUGCCCUCAAGCACGGCUUGUGUGUUGGGCCCCGUCCUCCGAUCCCGGGGGACGGGCCCGAAAGGCAGCGGCGGCACCGCGUCCGGUCCUCGAGCGUAUGGGGCUUUGUCACCCGCUCUGUAGGCCCGGCCGGCGCUUGCCGAUCAACCCAAAUUUUUAUCCAGGUUGACCUCGGAUCAGGCAGGGAUACCCGCUGAACUUAAGCAUAUCAAUAAGCGGAGGA
rnacentral:misc_RNA from 1 species